GACAGAGGGUGCAAACGUUGCUCGGAAUCACUGGGCGUAAAGGGCGUGUAGGCGGGACAGUAAGUCGGGCGUGAAAUCCCUGGGCUCAACCCAGGAACUGCACUCGAAACUACUAUUCUUGAGUGUCGGAGAGGAAAGCGGAAUUCCUGGUGUAGAGGUGAAAUUCGUAGAUAUCAGGAGGAACACCAGUGGCGAAGGCGGCUUCUGGACGAUAAACGUGACGCUG
rnacentral:rRNA from 1 species